AGAGAAGUUGCUGGAGAGAAUGCAACUGUGCCUCCAAAUGAAGCGGCUGUGCAAGCAAACUAGCCGAGGCAUUACCAGGCCUUUGUGUUUUUUACGGAUUAGCAAGAAUUUUACACGCUAAACAGCUGAAUCAAGUGGAACACCUGGGGCAAUUCUAUCAUAAGACCAGCUUCAGGUCCACUGGUUAUGGACUCCCGGUAACAUCACAAAAGCCUCACCUGAGGUUCCACAAGGUAAAAACAAGAUGGAAAUGGCAGUGGAGAAGAGCAUUACCAGGAAGAUGAAACCAAGCUCUCCAUGCUAUUACAAUGGGACAUGUCUAUGCGCUCUAGUUCAGCUGCAUACCUUAUUGAUGAUGAAACAUCGCAUAAACUCAUCACAUCAUUACAAUUAUAAAUAGCCAGUUCUUCAAUGUUAUUCUGGAGUUGUGAUAAUCAUUGUCUUUCCAUUGUCCUACAAAGAAUUUGUAUGUGCUUGGUUCUUGGGUCCUGUCACGAGAUUUGAGAAACCCCACAAAGUCAGAGUGACCUUCAAAAUGACAUUCCAAAGUUUCCAACU